GGGGGGGGGGUGGCGCAAGUCAAACCGGCUUCUCGGAGGCUCCGGUGGGCGAGAGGCGGGACCACCGAUCGGUGUUGCGGCUGGGAGCUGAGCGAGUUACACGGCAGAGGGAGACCAGAGGAGUCACAGAAAGGCACAGAAGUAAAAAUUCUUGAACAUAUUCAAGGAUGGCAAAAAUGCAAUGGUGGCCAUGCACCUGGAAUUGGAAUUCCACAACAAUGCAGGGGAGCACGACUGGAGGAGAUGCAGCAUAAUUAACAGCAAGAAGAAGAGGUAGAGAAGGUCCCAAAUCUGACGGCAGUAACAGUCGUCGUCGCCGCAGAGCCGAGAGAACGUGUAAUACGCCUGAUUUUCUUUUUUAAACAAGGCUGAAGUUUGAGGAUGCGACGGAGUGCUUGGAUGCAAAGAAGAGGAUGAUGAAGAAGAAGAUGAAGGAAGGAAGGAGGAGAGGAGGAGGAAGAGGAGGAGGAAGAGAAGAGGAGGAGGAGGAGGAGGAGGAGGAGAGGCGAGCGGCGGCGGCGGCGCGCGAGUGGCACUUGGCGGAGAGGGGCGGCGGCAGGUAUACCGCGCGAGCACCGCCCCUCCCCGCUACGCGGGUGCGCAAAUCGAUCAUUUGCCAGCUGUGCCGCGGCUUGCCCCACUUUGCGGUGACGCGCGCACACGCGCGCGCUCGCGGACGCGCGUACGCAAGAGGCGAAAAAGGCGCACCUGAACGCAACACCCCCCCCCAAAAAAAUGACGUCCGGUGUUGUUAAAUAUGAUUAUUAAUGCACUUUUAUUAUAGUCGUUAUCAAAGGGCUUUCAUCGAUUCUUUUUUUGUCUUCUUGCAUUCCGCCCAACAUUCUUACUCAAAAUGGUCGAUGACGCCAAACGAACAUAAAUCAGAUCAAAAAAUUAUUCAAUAAAGGGCAAUUAGAGUAAACGGUUUAGUCUCGUUUUGCGACUUAUCUUUCUUUUUUUUAAAUAAAGAAAAAGAAAUCAAAAUAAAUCAAAGAUGGCUCGAUGAGAAAGGGAAAUUGUUUCACGUCCCGUGGCAAGUCCUUCAAGGAGACAAGACGCCGACUGAAAUUCGGGCGUUCAAUUCAAUUUCAUAUUUAUUGACCCGAUGGGCAAGCACAAACGAGACGCGAACGUUUCAUGUGGCAUUCAAAAAAAAAAAAAAGAAAAGAUAAACUGUGUGUUUGCGCGCAGUUUUCCCUCUGCGUCAAUACAUUCUUAAAUUGAAUAUUCCAGUUAUGGUUCUGAUCUUCAUCUCGACAAAGUGCGAAAUUAUAUCCCCGAUGAUCGUUGACGUCACUUCAACUCUAUUGUCUGUGCGCGUGCGUUGGCGGGUGCGCGCGCGGAUGAUUGACAGUUUGUAGGUGUGCGUUGCGAGCGCGCGAUGACAAAAAUAAACAAAGUAACAGCAGUGGCGGCCAUUUACAGACAAGAUCAUACUAAUAAGUAACAUAUGUUCAGAAUAUUUUGGGGGCAAAGGCACAUUUUUUUUUUUAAAUUCAGUUCACAACAAGCGAACCAGGGCGUGCGAUUUAAAAAGAUAUAGAUUGCUUUUAAUAAUCUUAACAUAUACGUUGUAAUUAAAUUACGAGCAAACAAAACGGGGAAAAUGUUUGAUUAAAACUAAAUACAUUUUAAUUCAUGCGCAUUAUUAACUUGAAGACAUUCAAAUAAAAAAAUGGAAAUAAAUAAAUAGUAUAAGUAGAAAUGUUUUUAUUCAGUUAACAGCGAACUACCAUAAUGAUUGGAUUAUUUGAUUAAUAUUCAACUCAAUUCAAUUAAUAUAUGCCAUUGAUAAUGGCAAAAACGGAGUUGUAAAGUAAUGUUUUAUACAUUUUCAUCACAUGUAUUGACAGUAAACUAAUGAGAAAAGGGAAAAUUAAUGCGUGAUAAUUCGUGUUUACAUUUCAUAUAAAUGCAAUUUUCAAAUUUUAAAACCACACUAUCUUUUUUUCUAUUUCUUUCUGUUUUAAAU